AUUUAUCUAACAAGAGCCUCUCCUGGCCCUCCCGUUUUUCGAGAGAAGAGCACCGCUGAAAAUCUUGGGCAUCCUCACGACCCACAAGAUCUCGCUCUCAACAAGACUCCCUUCCACGAAAACCUUAAGUAACCUACACGGAAAUGUGCGGGCUGGGCUCCAGAGUUAAAGGCCCAAGACCCAGUAAAACAGCGCGAGGUUCUGUUGGCAGAGACCUCCCCCCGCUCCCCGCCCCCCCGAACGCCAUUUCCUUGGAUUUCGCUGAAGUUAGCAGGCAAACCUGUUUAGCCUAGAAUGUUACUCCUUUCACACAAACUGGUCCAAGGAGGGAACGGUUUUGUUUCUCUGGCCUUAUUAACGUAUUUAUAGCUGCGUAAACAAAGCGGUCUACCCCUGGCAUUUACAUUCGGAUAAUAAGCACACAAGAGCUGGCCUGCGCCGAAUUUAACGAAUAGGCUUCUCCAGAGAGAGGCCAAUCUCCUUCUCCUUAAAAGGGACAAAAAUGCUUAUCCGAAACUGACUUUGAGACGGGGAGGACUUUGUUCCUAGCCCCAACAAAAGGCGCCUGGAAAGACAAUCCGACAUGUUGCUACAGAGUAAAUCAGUCUCCAUGUGGUUUACUGCUGAUUGGAGCCACCACAACAGCACAAUUGGAAAUCGGAGGGUAAUUGCAUCCAACAGAAACACAAACUUGCCUAGAAUCCCAAUCAUAGCAGCAACAGCCAAAUCUCAAGAGCAACAAUUCUAUUCUAUUAGAAAGAGCCAAAAUGUCGCAAAGGAACCCGGAAGGCUGCUUCAAUACACUGUUUCCUCAUUGUUUCCGAAAUUUUCCAAGCCGAGGACUCAAUUCGAGGCCAGCUUAAAUGCAAGCACUUCGGUUUAAAUAGUUUGAACCGCAGGAAUUCCGGAUGAAUUGACUGAGGAAGGCAAAAGGAUCAGCUUCUUAUACUUUGCCCUAUUUUCCCCAGUCGCGUGUUGUUUAUUUGCACUAAACUUGAGUCCCAGCCCUUCCGAUUUUUAAUUUUAAAAAAAACUUUGGGAUUUUGUAUACUGUCUGAGCAAUUAAAAGGGAUUCUAUUGCAAUUAAAAGGGAUUCAUCCAAUGGA